GCCCGCCUGGGGCCGCGGGGCCUCCGGGUUAAGCAGCCGAGAUCCGCACACACUGGACGGAACCAGACUUAGGAGCAAAAGAGCUAAACUUCACGGGAGACCCUGAGUCAGAACCACCUCGCUAAGCCACUCCAGGAUUCCUGGUCCUCAGAAAAUAUGGAGUGGCAGUGGACAAAGCUUUGGCCAAUGAGACAUACAGGGAAGUCUACCUGAAGCCUCUGCGAAAGAUUUUGCUUCCUGCGAAGGAGAGAAACAUGCUUAAGAAUUCAGUAGCACUGCCCCUGACCUUUCUUCCUACCUCACAAGUCUGUUGAAAAGUUGUGUGAGGCUACUGUCUUGUGACAACGAGAAGAUAAGUGUAAUCUUGGGAAGACAUCAAGUGGGAGUGGCUGAGCAUAAGGAAAGAAGAACCGAACCUAGAGCCAUGGAGGCAUGCCUGCCCCUCUUGAAGUGAUUGUUUGAAGCAGAUGGAAACUGACUUUCCUUCAGUCCUAAUACCAAAUAGGGAGAGAAUCCAAUGGGUUCAGCUUGGCUUCAAUAUUUUUUCCUUGAACCAAUUACCUUGAUGGUGACAGACCAGGAGAGCUUCGGUACAGAUCUGCAGCCAGGACCGUGGGUGAGGGAGCACCUGGUGUCAACACUCUGACUUGACUUAGAGAGGUUACAACGUUCAUCAAAUACUAGUCAAGUGUACAGAGAUAAAUGUCUUCCUAGGGAGACUCCAGAAAUCAAGCCUACUUUUCAGCUUCCUAUAGUGAUAAAAACAGCAGGAGCCAAUGCCAAGUCAGAGGCCUAAAAAUAUGAGCAUGGGGGAAACUGUAAUAAAGUCAGGAUUACUGAAACCAAAUACGUCCAGGAGUAAAGGACACAUUGUUGAUUCCCUUCCAGAACCAUUUCCCCUCUUCCUUACCAUUAUAGCUCUGCUUUUGUCCAGGUAUCUGUGCUUCUCCACUUGAUUGUGUGCUUGCAUAGAUGCCAGCUACUUCCUAAGAUCCCAAGGUGAAUCCUGAUUAAUCUAAACCAAUCAAGGUAGUACCAUUCCCUUUAUCUCUCAUUAGGCUUGGGCAGGUGAUACAUUCUUAUCAAUGAGGCCUGGGGUAAAAUCAACUGGAUGUUUCUGAGAAACGUUUCUUCUUUCCUAGAAAAGAUACGGAUGAAGAGAUUACCUUUUCCUUCUUUAUACCUUCUUGUAUCUGGAUAUUGGAUACACCUGGAAUUGCUAUAGCCAUUUUAUGAACAUAAGGAGACCUAAUCUAAGGAAAGAAGAGGGAAAAGCUAGAAAAUGAAAAGACUGGGGUCAAUGAUAAUUUACUGAUCAGUGAAUUCACUAUCCUUAGAGCCAUCCUACAUUUAGACUAAUUAUAUGAGAUACAUUUUAUUUUGUAAGCCACUUUGAGUUGAUUUUCAUUUACUUGCUGCUGAAGGCAAACCAACUAAAACAGGGAAUAUGGUGGGAAUUAAGGCUAGAAAGACAAGCAGAUAAGAUUCCACACACAGAAAUAGGAGUCAGAAUAAAGUCAGACUUCUUAGCAACCCUGAAAGCUAGAUGAUGAAAUUAUGAAGGAAAAAGAUUUUCCAAGGUAGAAUUUUCAGACCCACCAAAUUAUCAUUUAACUAAGAAAGUAGAAUGGGGAUGUUUUAAUACACAAAAGCUCCCAAAAAAUACCUGCACUAAAUUCUUUGUAGGAAACUAGAAAGAAUGUGCUUCUCCAAAAUGAGGGAGUAAACCAAAAAGAGAAAGACUUGGGAUCCAGUACACAAGAACCUCUCUUAUGAGGGGAAGACAUGGAAUCCAGUAGGCAAGAUCAGACCUCUGUCAUGAAGGGAAGACAGCUGUCUACAAUGUGUGAAUAAAAGAAUACUCCCAGACACAGACAUACACCAACUAUCAACCGUAAUAGAAAGGAGGAUGUCCAAAUGGAAAACCAAAGUAUUGGACGCCUGGUUGGCUCAGUGGUAGAGCAUCUGCCUUGGCUCAGGACGUGAUCCCAGAG